GUGCUCACUUUGGCAGCACAUACACUAAAAUUGAAAUGAUACAGGGAAGAUUAACAAUGGCUCUUGUGCAAGGAUGACAUGCAAUUCUGUGAUGCAUUUCAUAUUUCU